rnacentral:rRNA from 1 species
CCUACGGGCGGCAGCAGUGAGGAAUAUUGGUCAAUGGGCGCGAGACUGAACCAGCCAAGUAGCGUGAAGGAUGACUGCCCUAAGGAUUGUAAACUUCUUUUGUAAAGGAAUAAAGUGAGGCACGUGUGCCUUUUUGUAUGUACUUUAUGAAUAAGGAUCGGCUAACUCCGUGCCAGCAGCCGCGGUAAUACGGAGGAUCCGAGCGUUAUCCGGAUUUAUUGGGUUUAAAGGGAGCGUAGAUGGGUUGUUAAGUCAGUUGUGAAAGGUUGCGGCUCAACCGUAAAAUUGCCAUUGAUACUGGCAGCCUUGAGUAGAGUUGAGGUAGGCGGAAUUCGUGGUGUAGCGGUGAAAUGCUUAGAUAUCACGAAGAACUCCGAUUGCGAAGGCAGCUUACUAAACCGACACUGACGUUGAUGCUCGAAAGUGUGGGUAUCAAACAGGAUUAGAUACCCGGGUAGUC